rnacentral:rRNA from 1 species
AGUGAACGCUGGCGGUAGGCCUAACACAUGCAAGUCGAACGGCAGCACAGUAAGAGCUUGCUCUUACGGGUGGCGAGUGGCGGACGGGUGAGGAAUACAUCGGAAUCUACUUUUUCGUGGGGGAUAACGUAGGGAAACUUACGCUAAUACCGCAUACGACCUACGGGUGAAAGCAGGGGAUCUUCGGACCUUGCGCGAUUGAAUGAGCCGAUGUCGGAUUAGCUAGUUGGCGGGGUAAGGGCCCACCAAGGCGACGAUCCGUAGCUGGUCUGGGAGGAGGAAAGGGGACAUGGGGACGGAGACACGGCGCAGACGCGUGCGGGAGGCCGCGGUGGGGAAUAUCGCAAAAUGGAGGAGACGAUGAUGGAGCGAUGCCGCGUGAGUGAUGAGGGAAUUAGGAAUGGAAAGCGCGAUGAGCAGGGAAGAGAGUGGCGGUGCCUGACUAAGGAGCGCCGGCUAAAUACGUG